rnacentral:rRNA from 1 species
UACGUAGGGGGCAAGCGUUGUCCGGAAUCAUUGGGCGUAAAGCGCGUGUAGGCGGCCAGGUAGGUCAGCUGUGAAAACUCGAGGCUCAACCUCGAGACGCCGGUUGAAACCAUCUGGCUAGAGUCCGGAAGAGGAGAGUGGAAUUCCUGGUGUAGCGGUGAAAUGCGCAGAUAUCAGGAAGAACACCCGUGGCUAAGGCGGCUCUCUAGUACGGUACUGACGCUGAGACGCGAAAGCGUGGGGAGCGAACAGG